UUCGGAGGUACUCGAGUGGCGAACGGGUGAGUAACACGUGGGUGAUCUGCCCUGCACUCUGGGAUAAGCCUGGGAAACUGGGUCUAAUACCGGAUAGGACCAUGCUUUAGUGUGUGUGGUGGAAAGUUUUUCGGUGUAGGAUGAGCCCGCGGCCUAUCAGCUUGUUGGUGGGGUAAUGGCCUACCAAGGCGACGAUGGGUAGCCGGCCUGAGAGGGUGAACGGCCACAUUGGAACUGAGAAACGGUCCAA
rnacentral:rRNA from 1 species